ACGCUUUCCAUUUGACAUGGUCCACCUCCCGAAAUAGGUUGGGGAUCAUCCCAUCGACGAACCUCCUCCUCUUUAUCUCAGUCGUGAAGAGAGAGACGACGUACUGUGACGACACUCUCGACCUCUUGCCUACCAUCAGCUCCGGCACGUCAACAACACGCUUUUUUGCGUCAGUCACGACGGUCGUCCUCCCCUCGUCCACCUCGAGGAUCAUCCCCUCCUCCGACUCGAAGAUCGCCACCUCCUCAUCUGUCUCCGUCAUCACCACCUCCUUAAUCUCCUCAUCUGUGCC
rnacentral:lncRNA from 1 species